AGGUGACUUAAUUUUUUUUUUUUUAAGUAUUUUUUGGCAUAACUACGGAAGUCUCGUGUUUUCCCCACCACACUCAUCAGUUUUGCCUAAAACUCAAGUCUAAACCGCAAAAACUCGAACCUCCACAGCGAAAACACGGCCAUCUCUCAAAUCUUAACCCAAAACUUGGCCAUCUCUCAAAUCUGAACCUAGAUCGAACUCAUCUCAGUCUUUUCACCCAAACCUAAUCAUUCUUAGUCUUUCCUUCACCUAUGAACCCGGAGAAUCCUUGAUGUUUUCAUUCAUGUGCGGCUUAAUGGAGCUGUUCAGCAACCACUCAACAAAUUAGAGCAAGUUUCACUAUUAUGUUUUCGAUUGGAUUAUUGGGUUUGGACGACAUUUCUUGUUUUUCUGGUCAUCUACGCUGCUUGGGUCUCCGCCUUUGAAUUUGGCUGUCUUAAGAAACCACAAGGACCACUCUCCAUUAUUGACAAUAUUGUCAAUGGCUUUCUUUGCUAUAGAUAUUGUUCUUACAAUUUCUGUGGCUUACUUGGAUAAAGCUUACCUGGGAAGUGCAUUUUUCCUCUGUACUCUACUUUCUAUGAUUCUUUUUUAAUAGAUUGGAGGAAGAUAAAGACUUCUUUGAUGAUUUUUGCUUUGGUACUUAUUUUACUGCCUUAUGUUUUUCUUCUUAGUCGGAAAUUUUGAGGAAAGGUUAACAUCAAUUUGUUCUGUUUAUGUGGAGUUAAGAUGUUCUUCUCUCUUGUCAGGUGGUCUGCAGGAGUUUGGUGCACCUAUGGGUGGGGCUCCAUCAAUACAUGUUUGCUAGCUAACUCUAUGUACUUUGAAUCUCCUGAGGUGGUAGGUAGCAGCUGAGUACAUAAAUAGAGGUUAUAUGACAUGGUUACAGUCGCACAAAAUUUUGUCAGUGGAAACAACCCAAAAGGGUUUGCUUCUACUUUAGUUCAUUUCAUGGGCAAGGAAUUUAGGAUAGAACUGAUGAAUUAAAUACUUAUCUACACAAGUAUCACAGAGUUGGAUCCACAUCUUGGUGCUCUUGUGGGGAGAUAUAUAAGGAAGCUGAGAAGUUUGCUUAUCAGAAUGGAGCAAAGGUGGCUGUUAUUUAUGGUGGAGCGCCGAUGGGUUAGCAGCUUCGUGAUCUGGAGAGAGUUGUUGACAUCCUAGUUGCCACUCAAGGCGCGUAGUGAACAUGAUUGAAAGGUCGUGAUUCCAUUCAUGAUCAGAUUGUGAUACUGGUACAACAGUACAACUAGCUAGUUCCUUUAUUAACUUGUGUCUAGUAGAAAUUCUUCCUUUAUUAAGCAUUUGGACUUGUUUCCAGAUCCAGAAUAGUAGGAUAUGGGUCGUUUUGAACUGUUGUUCAUGAUUAGAUUUGUGUACAUGAGACAAUGGUGGAUUAAUGCAAAUUGCAAUGAAUGAUUUGGGACGUGGAUUUUA